AUAUCUCUCUGUACGGGAAGGAUGAGAAGCUUCGACUAAGGUUCGAUUCGAGCGGCGAGAAAGCGUUGCCGCAGGCACGACCCGAAGGGCGAAGCGCGCAGCGCUGAGUCAUCCUUCCACCAUCACUC
rnacentral:sRNA from 1 species